rnacentral:misc_RNA from 1 species
AUUUUUUUUUUUUUUUUUUCAUCAAGAAAUACGAUUAAAUGAUCCAAUCUAAGCUAUCCAGGAAGAAAGGAUAAUGAAUGUCAACUUCAAAAUCAACAAAUAGCUUUGCUUGUUAUUGAUGAUAAUUCUUAAGAAUACAGAAUAAAAUCUAUAGCUUAUCACUUGUGAAAUUGUACCCAAUAGAAUACUUUGAAUGAGCUGUAAAUUUCUUUCAAACCCAGAAUUAAUAGCAUACUGAAUCUUGAACUAGCAAAAGAUUUUAAAAGAAGUCUUGCAGAGUAGUGACACAGCUGUAGAGGAAAGAAUUUAUUUCUCCUUAGGAUGAUAAGGAUCCAUUCCAUGAUGAAUAUACUCUUCCUCUCUUCAAGAAGCAUUGGAGCUUGUUAAUGAGAAAGUUAUUUCAAGAAUUCUUUCUUUUUUCCAAGCCUUGAAAAUUCUGGAAGCGAAUUUUAUCCUGAAAUCUCUUGUUUUCAGAGGAGAAAAAUCCCAGGAAAAUGAUUGAGUUUUCAUCUUAUUUUCACAUAGCACACUAUUCAUCAGAUUUUGCUAAAAUUGUAGCUAACAGAUAGCAGGUUGCUUGGCUUUCUUUCUGUUAUUAGCAAUUAGUAUGCUUUUAUGGAAGGAAAGAAAAUCUCUUAGAAAUUUUUCUUGCUCAUGAAACCAAGGAGAAUUAAAGUGGCUUUUGAAUGAUUCCCAAUAGCCUAUAGUCCAGUGAAAUCGGAUUGAAUUUUGCAUUAGAAAUUCAGUCUUUCUACUGUCCAGGAGGGUUGUUUUUCUGUUGACAAGCAGCGCAUCUAUUCCCAAUCUUCAUUGAAAUGUAUAUGAAUUGAUAUUUUAUCAAUCAUCAGAUAUGGCGAAGCUAUGAGGAUACUUCAUACCAUUUUUCCUAUUGACUUGAGUCCCUUAGUAGUGCAUUUUAAAUUUUUUCUGGUAUUCAGAAAAACACUUCUACAAAAAGCACUUACAAACUGCUAUUAUGUUUUGAAAUUUUUAGGAGUAAACAUUAAUUCCAAAUGCACCUUAAAAGUAAAAUUUGCAAAUGAAUUUCAUUAUGCAAUUCAUCUGUAUAUGCAUUCUCAUAUUUGGCAGAUUUCAUUUAUAAAUUUUGCUAAUUUCUAUAGAAUUUUAAAAUCAGUUCCAAGAAAUCAAGAAUCAUUCAAUAAUACUUGCUACAAGGCAAGAGUAGUUUUGGGAUUUGGGGUUGUCAAAGGUUGCUAAAAUACAUAUACUUAUAUGCAUGCAUGAAUAAGUAUAUAGCACAUACAUAGACAAUCGGUGGGGGGAGGAGAGAACUCACAGAUUUUGAAGAAGUUAGCACUGA